rnacentral:misc_RNA from 1 species
UGAUGAUCAACAUUUUUUUACAGUGACAUACAAAAACAUAAGAGUUCCAAAAGUAGUUGAACAAAAUAUUAGAACAAACAAGGUCAAUAUAAAAGUUUCUACUCCCCUGAAAAGUCAAAACCGGAGACCAAUCCUAAGGAAACAACUGCAAUAUUAGAAGCUCCUGGUAAAGCUAGCAAGUUCUUAAUCACUUUUGAGAUAUUGGCUGAAGAGAUAUUGCAUCCAUUGUGCCAUGGCGCUAUAACCAGUUUCUCAAGAUUUUUUGCAUGCUCAAGCAAGGACUUCAAAAAUUCUGAAAGGCGCUCUGUUGCGUCAGCUUUGUGUUGACAACUACAACAGUUUGAAGUAACCUCAACAUGCUUCAAAUUCUGCAAGGAGCCUUUGAAUAUGUUUUCAUGCAAGGAGAGGGAUUUGUCUCCUAACCAAUCAAACACUUCUUCUUCCAAG